rnacentral:rRNA from 1 species
GGCGAACGGGUGAGUAACACGUGGGCAAUCUGCCCUUCACUCUGGGACAAGCCCUGGAAACGGGGUCUAAUACCGGAUACCACUCCUGCCUGCAUGGGCGGGGGUUGAAAGCUCCGGCGGUGAAGGAUGAGCCCGCGGCCUAUCAGCUUGUUGGUGGGGUAAUGGCCCACCAAGGCGACGACGGGUAGCCGGCCUGAGAGGGCGACCGGCCACACUGGGACUGAGACACGGCCCAGACUCCUACGGGAGGCAGCAGUGGGGAAUAUUGCACAAUGGGCGAAAGCCUGAUGCAGCGACGCCGCGUGAGGGAUGACGGCCUUCGGGUUGUAAACCUCUUUCAGCAGGGAAGAAGCGAAAGUGACGGUACCUGCAGAAGAAGCGCCGGCUAACUACGUGCCAGCAGCCGCGGUAAUACGUAGGGCGCAAGCGUUGUCCGGAAUUAUUGGGCGUAAAGAGCUCGUAGGCGGCUUGUCACGUCGGAUGUGAAAGCCCGAGGCUUAACCUCGGGUCUGCAUUCGAUACGGGCUAGCUAGAGUGUGGUAGGGGAGAUCGGAAUUCCUGGUGUAGCGGUGAAAUGCGCAGAUAUCAGGAGGAACACCGGUGGCGAAGGCGGAUCUCUGGGCCAUUACUGACGCUGAGGAGCGAAAGCGUGGGGAGCGAACAGGAUUAGAUACCCUGGUAGUCCACGCCGUAAACGUUGGGAACUAGGUGUUGGCGACAUUCCACGUCGUCGGUGCCGCAGCUAACGCAUUAAGUUCCCCGCCUGGGGAGUACGGCCGCAAGGCUAAAACUCAAAGGAAUUGACGGGGGCCCGCACCAGCACGGAGCAUGUGGCUUAAUUCGACGCACCGCGAAGAACCUUACCAAGGCUUGACAUAUACCGGAAAGCCUUAGAGAUAGUGCCCCCCUUGUGGUCGGUAUACAGGUGGUGCAUGGCGUCGUCAGCUCGUUCGUGAGAUGUUGGGUUAAGUCCCGCAACGAGCGCAACCCUUGUCCUGUGUUGCCAGCAUGCCCUUCGGGGUGCUGGGGACUCACAGGAGACCGCCGGGGUCAACUCGGAGGAAGGUGGGGACGACGUCAAGUCAUCAUGCCCCUUAUGUCUUGGGCUGCACACGUGCUACAAUGGCCGGUACAAUGAGCUGCGAUACCGUGAGGUGGAGCGAAUCUCAAAAAGCCGGUCUCAGUUCGGAUUGGGGUCUGCAACUCGACCCCAUGAAGUCGGAGUUGCUAGUAAUCGCAGAUCAGCAUUGCUGCGGAUGAAGCUACGUUCCCGGGCGCUUGUACACACCGCCCGUCACGUCCCGAAAGUCGGUAACACCCGAAGCCGGUGGCCCAACCCGUCAGGGAGGGAGCUGUCGAAGGUGGGACUGGCGAUGUGGGACGAAGUCGUACCAAG